rnacentral:rRNA from 1 species
CUCCUGGGAAGUCCUCGUGUUGCACCCCUC